CCGCCCUCGGGCUCCCUCAUCGCGGGGAGAGGCCACACGCAGGGUUCUGGCUGCAUAUGGCCGUCGUGGUGGUGCCAGGCGGCUUUUUGUCCCACCCAGCUGCCCUCAGGAGCAGCCCAGCCCGGAGGUGCUGAGGGGUCGGUGCCCCCUCAGAGCCACGGGAAGGGUUUCAGGUGUUGAGAUCCUUGGAAGACCACACCUAAAAAAAAUAAAUAAAAUUGGGGAAUGGCCCCUUGCGAGAUAUAAAGUACUAUAUUUCAUGUACUUUUGCAACUUUUUUUUUUUAAUCUUUCCUUAAAUUAAUUUUUAAAGUGUUAAAGUUUCUCCUUUUGAAGAUGCUGUGGGUCUUCAGUGCUCAGUGAGCAUAUUUAGCAAUUUAAUUGCAAUCUUUUCAUGUGCACAGUUAUCUUUGAGGUCUUUUUCAACCUAAAUUAUUCUAUUUUUGUACUAAUUCGGAAAAAUUGGGCUAGAGAGUAACUAAAUUAUCAUAAUUCCUUAGAGUUCCUUCAACCUUUUCCAACCUUAAAAAUUAGGAAAUUAUUUGAUCUGGUUUUAUUUAUUUUUUUAACCUGACCAGGUUUAUUACUGUCACCUUGAAGGGAAAGCAACAAAAGCUCUAAAAAGCUCUCAAAUUCCAGCUCCAUGCAUUGAAAAUGGGAAUAAUCCCACAGUGCCCCUCCUUUUCAGUGUCCCCAUCAAGCCUUCCUUGUGAAAUGUAAAUCCCCAAAAUCUCUGUGUUUACCUUCUUCCACAGAGCUGGUGCUUUCAGUCUCUUUGUUUCUUUAUCAUCACUGGUUGUGAUCUGUGUUCUUGUUCCACUGCAGAGUCAUGAGAUAAUUAAUACUAAAACACCCCUACUUGUUAGUUUACAUGUUUCUGAUGCCUUUAAAAUCAGUUUAAAAUGGCUGAUGAUAUUGCACAGGGGAAAACAGAAUUUAAUACAUUCUUCUUGCAUCCAGAAUUGCUUGGCAAAGCUGAUGGUGCACAGGGGACCAGACUCCAAGAGGAAAACCAGAGCUGAGAGCACAGAUUGCAUCCUGGAUGAAUGUGGGCAGGAGCUGGAUGAAUAAAGAGGAGCCCAGACAUCCUCUGAAUGAAAACCAGGAGCAGUUUUUCAUCUGGGCACAGCGUCCUCGUGCAGGAGUGACAGAGUUCAUCAAGGGUUACUAAUUACCAUGUAAAUGAUGAGGUCGUCUGGCUGUCUGGACAGACUUGGGUGGGUGACCUGGGGUAAAAUCAUGGGAUCAUUAAGAUUGGAAAAGACUUCCAAGAUCAAGCCCAGCCUUCGACCAAAUACUCCCAUGCCUGCUGAACUGUGUCACCAAGUGCCACAUCUGCUUUUUUUUUGAACACUUCAGGGGGUUGUGACUCCACCACUUCCCCAGGGAGGCUGUUUCAAAGACUUUCAAGGACAGAGGAGUGUGAAGAGCUCACCGUGUGCCUUGGCUUGGGAGCACUUGGGGAAGCACAGAGCUGUGCUCUGCCAAAUGAGUUCAUCAGCCCUGAGCUCACCAUGUUCCUCAGCACUUGAGCCACAGCUGCUGGGCAAAGUGGCACAGAGAGAGCCCUUCCAGCCCUGGAAAACUCGGCAUUGAGGCAUGGAGAACUCAGCUUUAGCUGGGGAGGAUCACAGACUGAGCAGCACAGCCAGGUAAUGCAGGACAGGUCACCUUGCACCAGCCUGAGCUGCCUCAGGGCACUGCAGGCAGCAGCACAGAACAAGGGGUUAGGCCAGGCUGGACUUGAACCAGACAGGACCUGGACAAGGAAGAACGAGACUCAGGGAAGGGAAAGAAUGAUUCUGUGGGGGAAGCUCUGCAAAUAUGUGCUUCCCUUUGCUGAUAAAGGAGGGUGUGAGGCACUGAGAUGAGCUACCUUGUUUGUCUGCUCUCACACCCUGCCAGGCCCUGGCAGCAGCACUCCCUUAUCUCCAGCACAUUGGCACAUUCAGCUGUGCAGCCAUUCCCUAAUCCACCACCCUGGGCCUGGGCUGCUCCUCGUGUUCAUUCUCCUUCUCUCUGUCCUGACAGAGGAUUAAUUUUUUAAUAAGUUUGGAUGCAAUUUCAGCUUUAGCUGGGUAAUUCUCACGCAUUGCUUAAGCCUUUAGCAGUGUAAGGGGGGCAAUAUUGUCUCUGUGAAGGUACACAGGGAGCAAAAUGCCUCCUGUGUGAUAACGAGGGUGCUUCAGCAGCCUUGUCGGUGGCUUGUGGCACAGAGCUCUUCCUUUCACUGCAGGCAGCUCGGGGGGCAGGUUUCACACCUGCCUCUGCUGUAUUUACACCGCUAUUGUUUGUUAUUUACGUGUCUCGGGUUGUGUGGGCGGCAGCAGCCUCUUGUGCGUGUACCCAGAGGAAUCAAAAUGAAUUUGCAGAGCAA